CCUACGGGUGGCAGCAGUGAGGAAUAUUGGUCAAUGGACGAGAGUCUGAACCAGCCAAGUAGCGUGAAGGAUGACUGCCCUAUGGGUUGUAAACUUCUUUUAUAUGGGAAUAAAACGUUCCACGUGUGGGAUUUUGUAUGUACCAUAUGAAUAAGGAUCGGCUAACUCCGUGCCAGCAGCCGCGGUAAUACGGAGGAUCCGAGCGUUAUCCGGAUUUAUUGGGUUUAAAGGGAGCGUAGGUGGAUUGUUAAGUCAGUUGUGAAAGUUUGCGGCUCAACCGUAAAAUUGCAGUUGAAACUGGCAGUCUUGAGUACAGUAGAGGUGGGCGGAAUUCGUGGUGUAGCGGUGAAAUGCUUAGAUAUCACGAAGAACUCCGAUUGCGAAGGCAGUUCACUGGACUGCUACUGACACUGAGGCUCGAAAGUGUGGGUAUCAAACAGGAUUAGAUACCCUAGUAGUC
rnacentral:rRNA from 1 species